UAACACAUGCAAGUCGAACGAAGCUUGACGGAUGAUUUCUUCGGAAUGAAACCAGAUAUGACUUAGUGGCGGACGGGUGAGUAACACGUGAGCAACCUGCCUUUCAGAGGGGGAUAACGGCUGGAAACGGUCGCUAAUACCGCAUGAUGUGUUCGGAUGGCAUCAUUUGAACAUCAAAGAUUUAUCGCUGAAAGAUGGGCUCGCGUCUGAUUAGAUAGUUGGUGGGGUAACGGCCUACCAAGUCUACGAUCAGUAGCCGGACUGAGAGGUUGAACGGCCACAUUGGGACUGAGAUACGGCCCAGACUCCUACGGGAGGCAGCAGUGGGGAAUAUUGCACAAUGGGGGAAACCCUGAUGCAGCAACGCCGCGUGAAGGAUGACGGUUUUCGGAUUGUAAACUUCUUUUCUUAGUGACGAA
rnacentral:rRNA from 1 species